GUGGGGAAUAUUGGACAAUGGGCGAAAGCCUGAUCCAGCAAUGCCGCGUGUGUGAAGAAGGUCUUCGGAUUGUAAAGCACUUUCGACGGGGACGAUGAUGACGGUACCCGUAGAAGAAGCCCCGGCUAACUUCGUGCCG
rnacentral:rRNA from 1 species